rnacentral:rRNA from 1 species
UGGGGAAUAUUGCACAAUGGAGGGAACUCUGAUGCAGCGACGCCGCGUGAACGAAGAAGGCUUUCGAGUCGUAAAGUUCUUUUAUAUGGGAAGAUAAUGACGGUACCAUAAGAAAAAGCCCCGGCUAACUAUGUGCCAGCAGCCGCGGUAAUACGUAGGGGGCUAGCGUUGUCCGGAAUCACUGGGCGUAAAGGGUUCGCAGGCGGAAAUGCAAGUCAGGUGUAAAAGGCAGUAGCUUAACUACUGUAAGCAUUUGAAACUGCAUAUCUUGAGAAGAGUAGAGGUAAGUGGAAUUUUUAGUGUAGCGGUGAAAUGCGUAGAUAUUAAAAAGAAUACCGGUGGCGAAGGCGACUUACUGGGCUCAUUCUGACGCUGAGGAACGAAAGCGUGGGUAGCAAACAGG